UACCAUUCCAGGGAAAAUGGACAACAUUGCUAGAACUUGAACUUCCAUUCCUUUAAUGGAGCAAGGCUUUCCUGCUUCCUCUUUCUAUCUGCAGUGACCUUGGGCUCCCUGAAAAUCUGCUCUUGAGGGCUGGCAGGUGCAUCUGGAACAGCAUGGUAGGUUGCAUAGGAGGGAUUCAAAGCAGAGGGUGCAGGGAGAUUACAAAAAACCUGGGGACCCAUCCUUGCAUGAACAAAAGCAACUUCCACUCAUACAUCUACAUCAGUAGAAUCGAGCCAUUGGCAGCAUUCAUCCAUCAUAACCAGAACAAAUAGAUGUUGUUUUUCUAUUUCCAUGUUUCCUGUAAAUAAGGGUGAACUGAGUUUCUACCAGGAUUUAACAGUCAGAUAUGCUGUGCAAAUUCAUAGACUCCUGAUCAAUCUGGAACCAGGUUGAUAUUGAUGUUUCACUUUUGUGAAGUGAAGCUGCCAUUGGUCCAUCCAGCUGACUGGUGGCAUCUGUCCAGGGUUUCCAGCAGGAGUGUCUCCUGGCCUUAGCUGGAGAGGGGAGGGAUUGAAUCUGGCACCUUCUGCUUUCAAAGCAUGUGAGCUACCAUUGAGCCGUGGCCUUUCCAAGCGUGGCAUUUUCAGCACUGUUUUGUUUUUACACAGCAUACAUUUUCAUUUACCGUAUUUUUCGCUCCAUAGGACGCACCGGACCCUAGGAGGGGGAGAACAGGGGAAAUUUUUUUUUCGUGUUCUCCCCCUCUAAAACAAGGUGCGUUCAAGGUACAUUCACCAGAGCUUGUGGGGCUGGCGGUUGGGGCAAGCGCUGCUUUCCCCCACCGCCAGCCUCAAAGAUCCCUGAAGCCUUUGGAGCGCAGCACCCCGCUGCCCUGCAGAGGUUUGUGCGCAGCUGUCCCCAAGCUAGAGCAGCGAGACUGAGCGCUCCGCAGUGCUCCGUCUUCCUGUUCUGGCUUUGGGCUUAGCGGCGCAGCCUGCAUUCGCUCUAUAGGAUGCACACACAUUUCCCCUUAAUUUUUGGAGGGGAAAAUGUGCGUCCUAUAGAACGAAAAAUACGGUAUCUGAUGGCAUUAUAUAGUUUUAUGAAUUGUAGGUUUUAACCAACAAAGUUCUGCUCAGAAUGGAUCCGUUAGUCAUGCCCACUAAUUUCAGUGGGUCUACUCAGAGUACAACUGAAGCUGGAUAAAACCCUAUGCCUUUAAUCAGACUCCGAGUAGAACCAUUCACAAAUUUGCCAUUUGUGAAUUUGAGAGGAUCUUCAAUUCUCUCUCUCUCAUUUAUUCAUUAUGAAAUGGAAUAUCACUUUAGCUGCCUCUCUAUCUCAUUUAUUUUGCUUGACUGUGUUGGAUCCUCAUAUGGUGUUUGUAGGCUAUAUCCAGCUUUGUGGGUCCCAUAUUUUGUGUGUGCCUUCUACAAGAAGCCCAGGCCUUGCUAUUGAUAAUGGAAUGUGAGGUGGAAUGACCUCCUGUUGCUUUAAUGAUUACAACAGACUUGUGUGCCUGUGUGUGUUUUUCCUGGAGGACAGUAAUGAAAGGAAUGCUCAGUUUGAGCCCUUAAAAAAAGGGCAAGGCAUGAAGUCCUGUUUUCUUGAGGGUAUCUGGGAGUUGUGCAACUGAUGUCUUAUGUGAAGAGUCAAAUAUUUUUGCCCCUGAGCAACAGAAUCAACUGCAACCAUUAGCUCCAUACUUGGUGCUGAAGCAAGUAUUUUUUGUGGGAUCACUUCCGACUGAAGGUGUGGAGGAAAGUGAAGAAAGAAGAGGUAAAUAAGGGGCAGGGUGGUGCAGAUGGAAAAGUCCAUUCAGUUGUCAAGAGCAUUUUAAUUUUCUUUCAAGUUCUUUGUAGAGAUUGUGUGACUAAUGGAAGCCCGUUUUAUUUUUAAUGAGGGCUGUUUAAUAAGAGUCUUAAUUUUUUUAAAGCAUCUCUUCACUCUGCUUUGGUCACCAUUAUUUUACCUCAGAAUGCACCGCAUAUAAGUUUAUUUCGACAGCUAAGCUGGAUUCUCAAAUUGAUUUUGUGCUUGUUUCAGCCUUACAGAGCUGGACCAUUAAUUGAUUACCUCUCAAAGCCCGUGACUGCUUUUAUCAAACCUGGCAUUACUUAACCAUUUUAUAAAGUUUCCCAUCAAUGCAAUCAGGACAGACUUAAAAAGAGGCUCUGUCAACUUGUUAUAUGACUAAUUUUAAUAGUAAUGUACAACAAAGUUCACACAAGUCUCAUUCUAUUUUUCCUGGAAGGUUACUAUAAAUGAUAAUGUCUGUUCAUUUAAAGCAUUGAAAUCCGGACGCAAAACAGUUUUUAAAAACCCCAAAUUACUUUCAAGUUUUAUUGCAGAUGGGAGCUCCUUUGUCAUGUGUGUGUGUGUGAUCCACACUCAAACUGCUCAAAUGUGAUGUGUCUCACUUUGAAGCAUCCCCUCUCCAUCCCAUUGGUGCUAAAAAUAAAUUUCUGCCUAUUUUCUUACAGAAGCUGUGCCUUAACAGGUGCAUGCAUGCAGAAUCGAACAAGUGUAGCUUUGCUGCAUUUAUGACUACCAUGCCAUGAGAGUUUAUGUCAUGACAGAGAAAAAUAGAGACCCUAUUGUGAAAGUAUUCAUUUUUAAAGGAUCGGAUAGAAUUGCUAGGUACAGGUCAAAUCCCAACAUAUGUAAUACUGGUUGAGUUUGCAAGUAAUGUCCUGCAAUGAGAGUGAAUGGUGGUAAGCCUUGGGGUUGCAAGUUUUCCCAUCUCCCCUUUCACAUGGCGGAGGAGCCGCCACUUACAGUUUUAUCCGAACCAUUGUUCGUUCGUGAUGUUCAAACCUGGGAAACUAUGAUUUGUCAAAUUUCAGAUCUGUUAAUAAGGCAACCUAUACAGGUUAUGGAUUUGUCGAAAAUAUAGUUUGAAAACAAGCCACUCUCUGAAAGUAUAGCUUGAUUCCAAAUUGCUUUCACUAAACAUAGUAUUAAAAGCCUUUGCAGUUCUCUGGGUCUGAAUGUCACAGGGAACAAUGUUUACUUUAAAAUAAGAAGUAGCUCCUCUUCUGGUAUGUGAGAGAUGAAGGACAAGCACACAAAGCUGAGGUUGUGAUUGCUAAAACACAUGCACAUAAUGGGAAACCACAAUUUCCCAUUAUAUCUGGACCCAGCCACUGAGUACCAUAAAUGGCUUUGUUAUAGGGCCAAAUUACUCAUGACACAAGAGAUCAAUGAUCAGGACCACUGCAUUUUGUUUAAUCAUUCAAAACAGCUAAUUUGAUCAGGGAAAUAGUGCUGAGGGAAGCUCCUCGGUGCUGCCUUUUUCUCUUCAGAGAAGCCCUAAUGCUUCCUGCACUUGCUAUGACCACAACAUGAGAUUUUCUUUAGCUUUGCCCUAAAGAAAUGUGUGCAUGCACUGAGAGCUCUGUGACUUUCUUCUUUGCAGAAAAGAACCCUAUGCUUCAUCCCACAGUUAACGUAACACACCUGAUUUUCAAACGUAAUGCAGCAAAGAAGACUGCUAUUUUACAGUUCCAUUUAUUUACUUAAAAUGAUAGGUCAUUGAAAACAUUGCUCAUAGCAGAGACAGCCCAAAUAGUUAAGCAAGAGUGAUCUGACAUGCACGCACCCCAGUUUAACUAGUUUUCAACAUAACAUUUGCAGGAUAAAUUUGAGGCAGAGAAGCUAAGCAGAUGCAUAUUACAGCAAGUUAAUGAGGAUGAACUUUAAAUUAUCACUUUGACAAAGCUGCUGUUCAAAAGAGGCUGCUCCACUGGAAAUGAGGAACUGGUUGCACCGUUUCUGGAUUAUGGAAAGUAUUUUUGUUAUUCAUUGUGGUUGAGCAAUGGGAAUUUGAGCGAGAUCUUCCUAUGUGUGCAUUAUAGUGAGUUCUGGAAGGCUGCCAGAGCCCGCAGAAGAACUCUGCCUACCCUGUGGGUGGAAGGUUACUCAAUAAAUGAAACAAUAUGGCAGAUAAAUUAGUACAACAGAUUUCAAUCUACCAAGUUUGGGAUUUCCAGCAUUUUAGCCUGAUGAAACAGAUGAGAACAGAUGUUUGCCCAAAAGGCACCUUCCAUAUGAAGCCAUAAUCAGAAAUAGCUCUACAGAACCUAAUUAUGAAAAUAUCUUAAACAAUAAUAAUUCUCAUGAGGAAGUUUAUGAUCAAGUCAUUUUGUUCUACAUACUUAGCUCGGUAAAAAAAUGAAAAAGCACACUGUAUCUUAAUUGUGCCCAAACUUCCAGUGAGAAAUAUACUUCAAAGCUUUCUCUUGGCUGGUUAAUUCAAAUUCAAUUAAAAAAACGUAAGAAAGCCAUAUAUAUGAUAAUUCCAAAGGGAUAAAAAACAAGAUGGUUGUGCUUUGUGAAUAUACAGGUAGUAAUGUGUGUGUGUUUGGAUCCAAUACAUUCAACUAUUUCUGUAAAUAAUUAGCUAUGACUUCUUGCAUCAGAGCCAUAGAAACCAAACACAACCAAGAUAUAUAUUGUACAUAAUCUAGCCAAUCUAUAUUUGUAGCUGUAUGCUGAGUAAAUGUUGACUGCCGGUACUUAUAGAAAUCAAUAGUAAUAAAUAGCACAGUACAACUUACAAGUUAACUGAGACAUGCGUUAAGAUAGCUGGUUACAAACAACACUCAUUAUCUAAAGUUACUCCAAAAAAGUAUUGCUUUACUGCUGUGCUUGUAGACAAACUGGAAACAUCAUGUGCUUUAAGAGAUAUAUGCUGGACUUUCAUUUGAAAAGCAAUAUCUGUUUUCACAGCCCAACCCAAAGAUGUGGUACCAAUGCCAAAUCAAUGACUAUCAACUAUACUUAUGUCUUAGUUUCCUUUCUUCUCAGUAAUGUCUAGUUUUACCCUAUAUGUGAUGCUGUCGUGCUGUGUAUUCUUCUUCUUUGUCUCAGAACAUCUGCUAUCCACAGUGGUGGGCGACAAGGAGAAACAGAUAGGGCGGUGAUGCAAGGUCAAAUAUUGCAUAAAAUGAGACACUCCUGGAAAAGCAUGGCGUAAUGGCAACAGCACGGUUGGAUCCAAAGUUCUGUCGAUGAAGUUCUGCUCAUGCAAUGGGGAUCUCUCGAGUCUCAACUCUCAAGUUCUGCUGCGGUUGGAUCCAAGCCCCUUUGACAAACACAUCCAAACUAAAGUCUCUUGUAAUGACUGCUGAGG